rnacentral:tRNA from 1 species
AAUAGCUCAGCAUGUUAGAGCAACUGACUCAUAAUCAGUAGGUCCCAGGUUCAAGUCCUGGUGGGCCCA